GCUGGCGGCAGGCCUAACACAUGCAAGUCGAACGGAUCCUUCGGGAUUAGUGGCGGACGGGUGAGUAACACGUGGGAACGUGCCUUUUGGUUCGGAACAACUCAGGGAAACUUGAGCUAAUACCGAAUGUGCCCUUCGGGGGAAAGAUUUAUCGCCAUUAGAGCGGCCCGCGUCUGAUUAGCUAGUUGGUGGGGUAAAGGCUCACCAAGGCUACGAUCAGUAGCUGGUCUGAGAGGAUGAUCAGCCACAUUGGGACUGAGACACGGCCCAAACUCCUACGGGAGGCAGCAGUGGGAAUCUUGCGCAAUGGGCGAAAGCCUGACGCAGCCAUGCCGCGUGAAUGAUGAAGGUCUUAGGAUUGUAAAAUUCUUUCACCGAGGACGAUAAUGACGGUACCCGGAGAAGAAGCCCCGGCUAACUUCGUG
rnacentral:rRNA from 1 species